UACGUAGGGUGCGAGCGUUGUCCGGAAUUAUUGGGCGUAAAGAGCUCGUAGGCGGUCUGUCGCGUCGAUCGUGAAAACUUGGGGCUUAACCCUGAGCUUGCGGUCGAUACGGGCAUGACUGGAGUUCGGCAGGGGAGACUGGAAUUCCUGGUGUAGCGGUGAAAUGCGCAGAUAUCAGGAAGAACACCCGUGGCUAAGGCGGCUCUCUAGUACGGUACUGACGCUGAGACGCGAAAGCGUGGGGAGCGAACAGG
rnacentral:rRNA from 1 species